GUAGGUCCUGGAGCUAAAGAUUUUGUUACUGAGCUCUCAGUGACAGUUCUCCAUAAUGCUAGGCAUGAUGUCAAGAAUUGGAAGGGAGUUUCUGAUCUUGCAAAAGAUAGGAUUGUUGCUCAUAUGCUGGAUACCUUCCAGCUUCCAGACAUACAACAUAAUCGGGAUACUAUCCUUCAAACAGCUAAAAAUUUAUAUCGAUAUCGCCGUAGUAGGCUACAUGAUCAUUUCAAGAAAUUUGCUACAAAAGAGUUAAGGUUGCAAAACAUGCCAUCACAGGUUAAUGAAGCUGAAUGGAAAUUCUUGGUGGAAUAUUUCAACUCUGACGAUUUUAAGAAAAUGAGUGAAAGAAAUAAAAGUAAUAAGGCAA
rnacentral:misc_RNA from 1 species